rnacentral:rRNA from 1 species
UUCCUUGAGGAGUGGCUUCCGGAGCUAACGCGUUAAGUCGACCGCCUGGGGAGUACGGCCGCAAGGUUAAAACUCAAAUGAAUUGACGGGGGCCCGCACAAGCGGUGGAGCAUGUGGUUUAAUUCGAUGCAACGCGAAGAACCUUACCUACUCUUGACAUCCAGAGAACUUAGCAGAGAUGCUUUGGUGCCUUCGGGAACUCUGAGACAGGUGCUGCAUGGCUGUCGUCAGCUCGUGUUGUGAAAUGUUGGGUUAAGUCCCGCAACGAGCGCAACCCUUAUCCUUUGUUGCCAGCGGUUCGGCCGGGAACUCAAAGGAGACUGCCAGUGAUAAACUGGAGGAAGGUGGGGAUGACGUCAAGUCAUCAUGGCCCUUACGAGUAGGGCUACACACGUGCUACAAUGGCGCAUACAAAGAGAAGCGACCUCGCGAGAGCAAGCGGACCUCAUAAAGUGCGUCGUAGUCCGGAUCGGAGUCUGCAACUCGACUCCGUGAAGUCGGAAUCGCUAGUAAUCGUAGAUCAGAAUGCUACGGUGAAUACGUUCCCGGGCCUUGCACCACCGGCCCGUCAAAA